rnacentral:rRNA from 1 species
AUUGAACGCUGGCGGCAUGCUUUACACAUGCAAGUCGAACGGCAGCGCGGGCUUCGGCCUGGCGGCGAGUGGCGAACGGGUGAGUAAUGCAUCGGAACGUGCCCAGUAGUGGGGGAUAGCGCGGCGAAAGCCGGAUUAAUACCGCAUACGACCUGAGGGUGAAAGCGGGGGACCGAAAGACCUCGCGCUAUUAGAGCGGCCGAUGUCGGAUUAGCUAGUUGGUGGGGUAAAGGCUUACCAAGGCGACGAUCCGUAGCUGGUCUGAGAGGACGACCAGCCACACUGGAACUGAGACACGGCCCAGACUCCUACGGGAGGCAGCAGUGGGGAAUUUUGGACAAUGGGGGCAAGCCUGAUCCAGCCAUGCCGCGUGCGGGAAGAAGGCCUUCGGGUUGUAAACCGCUUUUGUUCGGGAAGAAAGCCACUGGGUUAAUACCCCGGUGGGAUGACGUUACCGGAAGAAUAAGCACCGGCUAACUACGUG